rnacentral:misc_RNA from 1 species
GAUGAGAACGUAGUGAAAUGCGAUAAGUAAUGUGAAUUGCAGAAUUCAGUGAAUCAUCGAAUCUUUGAACGCACAUUGCGCCCCCUGGUAUUCCGGGGGGCAUGCCUGUUCGAGCGUCAUUUCACCACUCAAGCCUCGCUUGGUAUUGGGCAACGCGGUCCGCCGCGUGCCUCAAAUCGACCGGCUGGGUCUUCUGUCCCCUAAGCGUUGUGGAAACUAUUCGCUAAAGGGUGUUCGGGAGGCUACGCCGUAAAACAACCCCAUUUCUAAGGUUGACCUCGGAUCAGGUAGGGAUACCCGCUGAACUUAAGCAUAUCAAUAAGCGGAGGA